ACACCCAUAACUAAAUGGGUAUAUGCUAAAAUGUACAUUGCCGAUUACUUUUGCAUCUCUUCUUCCAAUUAGGGGUCUCACUCUCUUCUUCAGUUCUUCUUCCUUCUUUUUUCCUUCUUCAAUGGGUUGUCUUCUUUCUUCUAAUUAGAUUUCUAAAUUACUCCUCUUCAUUCUUUCAUUUAUUGCUAUUAAUAUUAAGGGAAAAAAGAAGUACAAUGUCCAAAAAUCUAUUUCUUCUCGGGAUCAAGGCUUGUCGGGUAGAUGCCUCUGCAGAUUGCUUGCCAAUCAUUUCACGGCGUGGACUCCAAUGAAUGCCGGACGGAGGUUCUACAAGUGCCCUCGUUCUGGUGCCUCGUCAUUUAGUUACUGGGAAUGGUGAUCAACAAUUGUAAGCUAUGUUACUCGGAAUCUUCAAAUAUAUCGACGGGCGUGUGUCGGACACUCCAAAAGUAGUGCAUUUUUGGAGAAUCCAACACGGGUGCGUGCGGCAACGAAAGUGAAGAGUCCGCGCAACUUAAAUUUUGCUUCUUUGGACGUCUUUCGCCAUGAAAGAAAUAAAUUGACAAAAAUGGCGGAUGCAAUUGAGGGGAUAAACUUAAUAUAUGUUAAAAAAUAUCUAAGUUGGAGGAUAAAGUGAAAAGGUUGAAGACGAUUUUUCUUAUAUCUUCCGCUAUUUUGUGGCUUUGUAAUGGCUAGGAUGAUGUAGUCAAGUGACUAGGAAAAGUAAUAGGAAUGAAUUAUGUAAUGUAGCAGAUUUUAUGAUAGUUUUGAAGUAUUAUUGGUGUUGAAAUCUUUUGUUUCUGCUGUAAAGUUAUUUCUGCUAUGUAAUACUAAGGUUUAUGUUGUGCAAAAAUGCUACUAUUUGUGCAGA